rnacentral:lncRNA from 1 species
GAAUUGGAACCCUGAUUAAUUUGGAUUGCAUGUUGCAGGGUCUAUUCUGAUGGUGACACUUCCAACAGAAUUUUUUUCAUACUCAGGACUCAAACUCAAAAACUCUAGUUAAGAGUGACGUAGUCCCACCACUACACACAACUCAUGUGUAAGUCACUCGUAUUGAUCCAACUUACCCGAUGUCUGGUGCUCGCAUUGGAGUUUCGACUAAUUCGGAUCACGUGUUGCAGGGCUUAUUCUGGGGAUAGCGCUCCCAAGAGAAUUUUCUCCAUACCCAGCGCUCGAACCCGAGAUCUCUGAUUAAGAGUGAAGCAGUCCCACCAUUACACCACAACCCAUGUAUAAGUUACUCAUAUUAAUCAAACUUACCCGGUGUCUGGUGUCCACAUUGAAGCCUCGACUAAUCCGGAUCGAGCGUUGCAGAGCUCAUUUUCUCCAUAUCUAGAGCUCGAACUAGAAAACUCUAGUUAAGGGUGGAGCAGUCUCACCACUACACCACAAACCACGUAUAAGUCACUCAUAUUCUCCAUAUCCAGAGCUCGAACUAGAAAACUCUAGUUAAGGGUAGAGCAGUCUCACCACUACACCACAAACCACGUAUAAGUCACUCAUAUUGAUCCAACUUUACACAUUUGUUGUAUGUGUUAGAGUCAAAGAAAUUUUACAAGUAAUAACAAAAUGUAACAUUUAUUUGAAUUAGCUCAUUGAAAUAAUUUAUAAACAAUAUUGGUUGAAAUUGAUUUUAUAAAUAAAUAGUUAUAUGUUUAG